rnacentral:rRNA from 1 species
ACUUUAAUUGAAGAGUUUGAUCAUGGCUCAGAUUGAACGCUGGCGGCAGGCCUAACACAUGCAAGUCGAACGGUAACAGGAAGCAGCUUGCUGCUUUGCUGACGAGUGGCGGACGGGUGAGUAAUGUCUGGGAAACUGCCUGAUGGAGGGGGAUAACUACUGGAAACGGUAGCUAAUACCGCAUAACGUCGCAAGACCAAAGUGGGGGACCUUCGGGCCUCAUGCCAUCAGAUGUGCCCAGAUGGGAUUAGCUAGUAGGUGGGGUAACGGCUCACCUAGGCGACGAUCCCUAGCUGGUCUGAGAGGAUGACCAGCCACACUGGAACUGAGACACGGUCCAGACUCCUACGGGAGGCAGCAGUGGGGAAUAUUGCACAAUGGGCGCAAGCCUGAUGCAGCCAUGCCGCGUGUAUGAAGAAGGCCUUCGGGUUGUAAAGUACUUUCAGCGAGGAGGAAGGGGUUAAGGUUAAUAACCUUGGCCAUUGACGUUACUCGCAGAAGAAGCACCGGCUAACUCCGUGCCAGCAGCCGCGGUAAUACGGAGGGUGCAAGCGUUAAUCGGAAUUACUGGGCGUAAAGCGCACGCAGGCGGUCUGUCAAGUCGGAUGUGAAAUCCCCGGGCUCAACCUGGGAACUGCAUCCGAAACUGGCAGGCUUGAGUCUCGUAGAGGGGGGUAGAAUUCCAGGUGUAGCGGUGAAAUGCGUAGAGAUCUGGAGGAAUACCGGUGGCGAAGGCGGCCCCCUGGACGAAGACUGACGCUCAGGUGCGAAAGCGUGGGGAGCAAACAGGAUUAGAUACCCUGGUAGUCCACGCCGUAAACGAUGUCGACUUGGAGGUUGUGCCCUUGAGGCGUGGCUUCCGGAGCUAACGCGUUAAGUCGACCGCCUGGGGAGUACGGCCGCAAGGUUAAAACUCAAAUGAAUUGACGGGGGCCCGCACAAGCGGUGGAGCAUGUGGUUUAAUUCGAUGCAACGCGAAGAACCUUACCUGGUCUUGACAUCCAGAGAAUCCUGCAGAGAUGCGGGAGUGCCUUCGGGAACUCUGAGACAGGUGCUGCAUGGCUGUCGUCAGCUCGUGUUGUGAAAUGUUGGGUUAAGUCCCGCAACGAGCGCAACCCUUAUCCUUUGUUGCCAGCACAUCAUGGUGGGAACUCAAAGGAGACUGCCGGUGAUAAACCGGAGGAAGGUGGGGAUGACGUCAAGUCAUCAUGGCCCUUACGACCAGGGCUACACACGUGCUACAAUGGCGCAUACAAAGAGAAGCGACCUCGCGAGAGCAAGCGGACCUCAUAAAGUGCGUCGUAGUCCGGAUUGGAGUCUGCAACUCGACUCCAUGAAGUCGGAAUCGCUAGUAAUCGUGGAUCAGAAUGCCACGGUGAAUACGUUCCCGGGCCUUGUACACACCGCCCGUCACACCAUGGGAGUGGGUUGCAAAAGAAGUAGGUAGCUUAACCUUCGGGAGGGCGCUUACCACUUUGUGAUUCAUGACUGGGGUGAAGUCGUAACAAGGUAACCGUAGGGGAACCUGCGGUUGGAUCACCUCCUUACCUGCAAGA